AACCAACAAAAAUAUUAAAAAUUUGACAGAGAAAAAGAAAGAGCUUUUCCUUUAUAAAUGGGACCGACAAUGACACUGUAGCAGUAGAAGCAGAGCAAAACAUUGCAGAAUAUACCUUGCUCAGUUCUGCAAAAAUUCUCCUUACUCUCUCUGUUUGUGUGUCUCAUCAUCAUCAUCAUCAUCGAGAUUAAGCUCUCCAUUUUUCUGGGUAUCUCUCUCUGUGCAUAAAGCUAUGGACUUUAUCUCGGAUUUUGUAUUGACAAUUGCUCUGUGUAGCCUGGUACCUUUAUUUCUUUGCUUCCUUUUGCCUGUGAUUGUUGCUUUGUGUCCGAGCAGGGAUGAUCAUGUUGGAAAAAGAAGGGUUCUUUAUGAGUGUGAGCCCAGCGUUCAUGAGUGGGAGAGUGAAGUUGGAAGUGGGUUUGUUGAGAAAGCUGCGGAAGUUGAUGGGUUUAAGGGUGAGCCCAAGAAGGAAAGUUUGGUUCUUGAUGAGUUUGGGGAUGAGGGUUUGGCUGAGAAUGAGGUUUUGAGAGGAGUUGGAGAUGGUUGUGUGAAGGAGAAGAGUGUUGAGGAAGAAAGGUUUGACGGUUUGUGUGAGUGUGUGGAGAACGUGUUUGAUGAGAGUGUCGAGAGGUGUGAAUUUGGGGGUGUUGAGUUUGGUUUGGGGGAGAGGAAUGUUGAUGAAGAAGGCUGUGAUGGGCAUGGUGGUAUAAAGAACUUGUUUGAUGAAAGUUGUGGGAGGCUUGAGUUUGGUUUGGGAAGAAAUGAAGUGGGUGUUGUUUGUUUGGGGGAGAAGAAUGUUGAAGAAGAAGGGAUUGAUGGGCGUGUUGGGGUAUGUGGGUAUGUAGAGAACUUUGAAAGUUUUGAGAAAAUUGAAAAUGGCGGGCUUGAGCUUGAUUUGGGGAAAGACCAAGUGGGAGUUGUGGCUUUGAAUGAGAAGAAUGUUGAACAAGAAAGCCAUGAGGGGGAUGGUGGUGUGUGUGGGUGUGGAGAGAACUUGGUUGAUACAAGUUUGGAGAGGCAUGAAUUUAGCGAAGUUGAGUCUGGUUUGGAAAGAAAUGAAGUGGGGGUUGUUUGUUUGCCAGAGAAGUAUGUGGAGGAAGGAUGCCCUCUUGGGGAUGUUGGUAUACGUGGCUCUAGGGAGAACCUGGUUAAUGAAAGUUCUGAGAGGCAUGCAUUUGGCGAAAUUGAGUUUGGUUCAGAAAGAAACCAAGUGGCAAUUCUGGAAAGUGAAGAGAUCAAGCUGUCAAACUGUGAGGAUGAUGAUGAUGAUGAUGAAACUGAUGAAGCAAAGCACAAUGUAGUUGAUGGGGAAGCUGAUGAGGGGUUAUUCGGUGAGGAUAAUGAUUGGGAGAAUAUAAAAAGAACUGAAUUGGAGAGGCUCUUUGGUUCUGCAGUGGUUUUUGUUGGGUCUAAGAGUAAUGCUGAUAGAGUUUCAAGUCUUGGGAGUGAUGUGAAGAUGAGGUUGGAUGGGCUUCACACGAUUGCUACUCGAGGACCUUGUUUGGAACCCCAGCCUAUGGCAUUCAAGGUCUCGGCAAGAGCAAAAUGGAAUGCUUGGUGGCAGCUUGGCAACAUGAGUUCAGAGGUAGCAAUGGAACAAUACAUCACCCUUCUUUCAGAAAGUGUUCCUGGAUGGAUGCAAGAUGUUCAUGGCGAUUUUUUAGAUCCCCAAGUGUAUAAGACCAUAACUGCUGAUCCAAACACAGUGAUGCCAAACAAAUCAGAAGCUGCUGGUGUAAGAAUAGUAGAAGAACUGAAGCCUGAUGCUAAAGGUUUUAAUGAGAUCGGACUGGGGGUCAUAACUCAUUGAGCAAGGUACCCAUUCAGUUAGUGGUGUAUGUAAGUUCUCUUACAUGGAAUUUUGGUUGGCAAUAUUUUGAUUCUGUUAUUUCGUAGCUGGUAAGUUGUAAAUUGUAAAUUAUAGAUAGAAUUUUCAUACUUUCAUGUGCUCAAUGAAAUGACUUUUUUUUUUUGGUAAUGUAAAUUGAGUUUUUAGUCAUGGCUUAGAACCAGUGAAUGGUUCGUAAUUCAACAUUCCAUGACUAGUUUUAAUUUUCUGGUUUUUGCCGAUUGUUCAAAAACAAGGCAGGCAUCUUCAGGUUAACAGAGGUUGCCGACUACCAAGACCAGAAGCUCGUAUCAACAAUUAAAAACUCUCGACUAUGAUAUGUACAUAUUGCAUUGGUGUUGAUAAUAAAGAUUUCAUCCUUGUGUUCAUGGUUCUAGCUGUA